rnacentral:rRNA from 1 species
AUUGAACGCUGGCGGAAUGCUUUACACAUGCAAGUCGAACGGCAGCACGGACUUCGGUCUGGUGGCGAGUGGCGAACGGGUGAGUAAUGUAUCGGAACGUGCCCAGUCGUGGGGGAUAACGUAGUGAAAAUUACGCUAAUACCGCAUACGAUCUAUGGAUGAAAGCGGGGGAUUGCAAGACCUCGCGCGAUUGGAGCGGCCGAUAUCAGAAUAGGUAGUUGGUGGGGUAAAGGCCCACCAAGCCAACGAUCUGUAGCUGGUCUGAGAGGACGACCAGCCACACUGGAACUGAGACACGGUCCAGACUCCUACGGGAGGCAGCAGUGGGGAAUUUUGGACAAUGGGCGAAAGCCUGAUCCAGCCAUUCCGCGUGCAGGAUGAAGGCCCUCGGGUUGUAAACUGCUUUUGUACAGAACGAAAAGGUUUCUACUAAUACUAGGAGCUCAUGACGGUACUGUAAGAAUAAGCACCGGCUAACUACGUGCCAGCCGCCGCUGUAA